UUUUGUACGAAACAAACCAAAUAAUAAUAAUAUUUCCUCAUAGUUUUAAUGUAAUAUGAAUACAGAGCAAUAUAAAGAAAAAAAGAAGAGUAUAAACAAAAAAGAUUCGUCAUUUGCAAUCUGAAAACCUAAACAAUCUUCUAUAUGUUGUUUUGAUUCAGAGAAAUUAGAACCAAAAUCAAAAGAGCCCAAAGAGAAUAGAAAACCCAAGAAGCAUCAUCCAGACAAUGUGUAUCAAAAGCAGAGCUUGUCCAGGAACAGACAAACCAACACCAUUACCAACAUCACAAGCUCCUUGUUUCACAACACGAACACCAUGGCACAAAGCAUCUGCACAACCGCACCAGUAAGUAACGCUGUCUUCACCGCAAACCGGAUCAGGCCUGAAACACUGAACCGGACACGAAGCCGGUUUAGCAAUUCCUUCACAGAAUUCGCCUCUGUUUUUUUCACCGUUGAUCUUCUCCGAAGGUAACCUAAUAAUCUCUCCUCCUUCCGUCGAAGGAUCAGCGAAAACCGAAGAUAGAUUCAGAAGAAUCAGAAAAAGAAACGCAAUUACGGCUAAUGACGGCGAGAUUGUCGACAUUGCCGAGAUUCGGAUCUUGAAUUUCAUCGGAGAAUUUGUCAGAAACCCUAAAAUCUGAAUGCGAGAUUUUUAUCUUCUCUCUUUUGGGAUUUUUCCUUAAGAAAGGUAAAGAAUCUGAGAAGACGAAACGUUGUUUCCUCUCUUUUCCUGAAAGGAAACAACGAAUGAGCAAAAAAAAAAUCAAUAGAGGAAAAAAGAAAGAAUCAGGAAAAA